CGGACGGGUGAGUAACGCGUGGAUAACCUGCCUCACACUGGGGGAUAACAGUUAGAAAUGGCUGCUAAUACCGCAUAAGCGCACGGUACCGCAUGGUACGGUGUGAAAAACCCAGGUGGUGUGAGAUGGAUCCGCGUCUGAUUAGCCAGUUGGCGGGGUAACGGCCCACCAAAGCGACGAUCAGUAGCCGACCUGAGAGGGUGACCGGCCACAUUGGGACUGAGACACGGCCCAA
rnacentral:rRNA from 1 species